CUGCUCUAGAAGGGCUUAUAUAAAAAUUACAAUAAGAGAUAAGAUAAUUAACUGUGAACUUCCUCAAUCUACAUGGGAGGCUGCAGCAAGAGAAGGCAAUGAAGACUUAAUGGUUCUCAGAUCCCAGGUCCAGCAGACAUCUUCACAAGUCAAUCAAAAAGUCAACUAAUGAUACCUGAACAGGGACCUGAGUGAAAAGUUAGGAGAGCAAGCGAGACUCCCUGCAGGAGAGAAGACGGCAGGAACUCCAGGCAAAGACAUUGAGAAACAGCAAAGGUUUGAGAAGUUUGCUGUUGUCCAGGACUACUGAUCAUCAUUUUCCCAUAUGAGGAUCUAACAUUCCUUCCAAUUUGGAGAGAGACAUCUAAGAUGGCUGCUGCACAACUUUUACCCUCAAUAAAACCUACUUCACUGUCAACCAUUCCACCACACAGCGGGCUGGCUGGUCAAAGACACAGAUGCUCUCUUCCCCAAGAACCGUAGGGGUCAAAAAUUCCUAGGAAGAAAGAAAAGAGCAAGUUUGUGGUCUCAGAGUCUAACUAGAUGAACUGCCACUGAACUCCAUGCCUUUUCUCUCCCUUUGUUUCUUCCACCCAGAAGUAAGUAGCCUAGUUAUCAGUUCUGAAGGCUACACAGGGGGAAAACAGGCA